rnacentral:siRNA from 1 species
GUGCAGAAGUAGUUUGUGGUUGCU